rnacentral:rRNA from 1 species
UCGGGAAUCUUGCACAAUGGGCGAAAGCCUGAUGCAGCAACGCCGCGUGAGUGAAGAAGGCCUUUGGGUUGUAAAGCUCUUUCGGCUGGGAAAAAGGGUCUCAUUGCGAAUAGUCUUGAGAUUUGAUGGUACCAGAAGAAGAAGCACCUGCUAACUACGUGCCAGCAGCAGCGGUAAUACGUAGGGUGCAAGCGUUGUUCGGAAUUAUUGGGCGUAAAGCGCGCGUAGGUUGGUUUGUAAGUCGAUUGUGAAAUCCCUGGGCUUAACCCGGGAAUUGCAGUCGAUACUGCAGAUCUUGAAUGUUCGAGAGGGUGGUGGAAUUCCUGGUGUAGAAGUGAAAUUCGUAGAUAUCAGGAGGAACACCCGAGGCGAAGGCGGCCACCUGGCGAAACAUUGACGC